GGUUGUGACGGGCUGUGUAGGGUUGAGGUAGUGACGGGCUGUGUAGGGUUGAGGUAGUGACGGGCUGUAUAGGGUUGAGGUAGUGACGGGCUGUGUAGGUUGUGGUUGGGACGGGCUGUAUAGGGUUGAGGUGGUGACGGGCUGUAUAGGGUUGAGGUAGUGACGGGCUGUAUAGGGUUGAGGUUGUGACGGGCUGUAUAGGUUGAGGUUGUGACGGGCUGUGUAGGGUUGAGGUAGUGACGGGCUGUGUAGGGUUGAGGUAGUGACGGGCUGUGUAGGGUUGAGGCAGUGACGGGCUGUAUAGGGUUGAGGUUGUGACGGGCUGUGUAGGGUUGAGGUUGUGACGGGCUGUAUAGGGUUGAGGUUGUGACGGGCUGUGUAGGGUUGAGGUAGUGACGGGCUGUGUAGGGUUGAGGUAGUGACGGGCUGUAUAGGGUUGAGGUAGUGACGGGCUGUGUAGGGUUGAGGUUGGGACGGGCUGUAUAGGGUUGAGGUGGUGACGGGCUGUAUAGGGUUGAGGUAGUGACGGGCUGUAUAGGGUUGAGGUUGUGACGGGCUGUAUAGAGUUGAGGUUGUGACGGGCUGUGUAGGGUUGAGGUAGUGACGGGCUGUGUAGGGUUGAGGUAGUGACGGGCUGUGUAGGGUUGAGGCAGUGACGGGCUGUAUAGGGUUUAGGUUGUGACGGGCUGUGUAGGGUUGAGGUUGUGACGGGCUGUAUAGGGUUGAGGUUGUGACGGGCUGUGUAGGGUUGAGGUUGUGACGGGCUGUGUAGGGUUGAGGUUGUGACAGGCUGUAUAGGGUUGAGGUUGUGACAGGCUGUAUAGGGUUGAGGUAGUGAUGGGCUGUGUAGGGUUGAGGUAGUGACGGGCUGUAUAGGGUUGAGCUUGUGACGGGCUGUGUAGGGUUGAGGUAGUGACGGGCUGUAUAGGGUUGAGGUAGUGACGGGCUGUGUAGGGUUGAGGUAGUGACGGGCUGUAUAGGGUUGAGGUUGUGACGGGCUGUGUAGGGUUGAGGUAGUGACGGGCUGUGUAGGGUUGAGGUAGUGACGGGCUGUAUAGGGUUGAGGUAGUGACGGGCUGUGUAAGGUUGUGGUUGGGACGGGCUGUAUAGGGUUGAGGUGGUGACGGGCUGUAUAGGGUUGAGGUAGUGACGGGCUGUAUAGGGUUGAGGUAGUGACGGGCUGUAUAGGGUUGAGGUAGUGACGGGCUGUGUAGGGUUGAGGUAGUGACGGGCUGUAUAGGGUUGAGGUAGUGACGGGCUGUGUAGGGUUGAGGUUGUGACGGGCUGUGUAGGGUUGAGGUUGUGACGGGCUGUAUAGGGUUGAGGUGGUGACGGGCUGUAUAGGGUUGAGGUUGUGACGGG
ensembl:lncRNA